rnacentral:rRNA from 1 species
CCGGCACGGGUGAGUAACACGUAUGCAAUCCACCUGUAACAGGGGGAUAACCCGGAGAAAUCCGGACUAAUACCCCAUAAUAUGGGCGCUCCGCAUGGAGAGCCCAUUAAAGAGAGCAAUUUUGGUUACAGACGAGCAUGCGCUCCAUUAGCCAGUUGGCGGGGUAACGGCCCACCAAAGCGACGAUGGAUAGGGGUUCUGAGAGGAAGGUCCCCCACAUUGGUACUGAGACACGGACCAA